rnacentral:rRNA from 1 species
AGCGAACGUUAGCGGCGGGCCUAACACAUGCAAGUCGAACGCGAAAGGUCUUCGGACUGAGUAGAGUGGCGCACGGGUGAGUAACACGUAGGUAAUCUACCCUUUGGCGGGGGAUAACGUUCCGAAAGGAGCGCUAAUACCGCAUAAGACCACGGAGUCUCCGGACGCUGUGGGAAAAGGUGGCCUCUUCUUGAAAGCUACCACCGAAGGAUGAGCCUGCGUCCCAUCAGCUAGUUGGUAAGGUAAUGGCUUACCAAGGCUUGGAUGGGUACGGGGUGUGAGAGCAUGCCCCCGCUCACUGGGACUGAGACACUGCCCAGACACCUACGGGUGGCUGCAGUCGAGAAUCUUCGGCAAUGGGCGCAAGCCUGACCGAGCGACGCCGCGUGCGGGAUGAAGGCCUUCGGUUGUAACCGCUGUCGUAGGGGAUGAACGCUAGUGAGUUAUCUCAUUAGUUU